rfam:Grapevine enamovirus-1 isolate SE-BR, partial genome
CCCCCCAGCCGAAAGUUCUAGGUUGCAAUUGUCGGUGGGCUCCGGCGUAAGCUCAAAUAUACAGGCCUAGCAUAA